UUACUAUGGUGCUGGUCUUCCAGCACUCGCAGUUUCCACCAGAAGCGUUUUCCUUGCUGUUGGGUAAACCUUCCUUGGAUGUCUGAGUGA
rnacentral:snoRNA from 1 species